rnacentral:rRNA from 1 species
UACGGAGGGGGCUAGCGUUGUUCGGAAUCAUUGGGCGUAAAGCGCGUGUAGGCGGUCCGGUAAGUCCGCUGUGAAAGUCGGGGGCUCAACCCUCGGAUGCCGGUGGAUACUGUCGGGCUUGAGUACGGAAGAGGCGAGUGGAAUUCCUGGUGUAGCGGUGAAAUGCGCAGAUAUCAGGAGGAACACCAAUUGCGAAGGCAGCUCGCUGGGACGUUACUGACGCUGAGACGCGAAAGCGUGGGGAGCAAACAGG